rnacentral:rRNA from 1 species
AUUGAACGCUGGCGGCAGGCCUAACACAUGCAAGUCGAACGAGUGGCGGACGGGUGAGUAAUGUCUGGGAAACUGCCUGAUGGUGGGGGAUAACUACUGGAAACGGUAGCUAAUACCGCAUACCAUCAGAUGUGCCGAGAUGGGGUUAGCUUGUUGGUGGGGUAACGGCUCACCAAGGCGAAGAUCCCUAGCUGGUCUGAGCGGAUGACCAGGCACACGGGAACUGAGACACGGUCCAGACUCCUACGAGAGGAAGCAGUGGGGAAUAUUGGACAAUGGGCGCAAGCCUGAUGCAGCCAUGCCGCGUGUAUUAAGAAGGCCUUCGGGUUGUAAAGUACUUUCAGCGGGGGGGCGUUACCCGCAGAAGAAGCACCGGCUAACUCCGUGCCAGCAGCCGCGGUAAUUC